rnacentral:rRNA from 1 species
CCUACGGGGGGCAGCAGUGGGGAAUAUUGCGCAAUGGGCGAAAGCCUGACGCAGCGACGCCGCGUGAGGGAUGAAGGUCUUCGGAUCGUAAACAUCUGUCAGCAGGGAAGAACGGUCACUGUGCUAAUCAGCAGUGAAUUGACGGUACCUGCAAAGGAAGCACCGGCUAACUCCGUGCCAGCAGCCGCGGUAAUACGGAGGGUGCGAGCGUUAAUCGGAAUUACUGGGCGUAAAGCGCUCGUAGGCGGUAUGUCAAGUCAAGGGUGAAAUCCCCGGGCUCAACGUUGGAACUGCCUUUGAAACUGGCAAACUGGAGUGUGUGAGAGGAUAGUGGAAUUCCAGGUGUAGGAGUGAAAUCCUUAGAUAUCUGGAGGAACAUCAGUGGCGAAGGCGACUAUCUGGCACAUAACUGACGCUGAGGAGCGAAAGCGUGGGUAGCAAACAGGAUUAGAUACCCCGGUAGUC